rnacentral:miRNA from 1 species
ACCAUGCAAUUUCCCUUCUCUCUCCCUUUCCCUCCCACCUCUCAUCCCUGUUAAAUGUUAAUCUUCUUCUCCUGCUCUUCAUCCCUACUCUGAUCUUAGUUACUCUCCUUAUAUCAAAGAAGACAUUUAACAGGGAUGAGAGGUGGGAGGGAAAGGGAGAGAGAAGGGAAAUUGCAUGGU